GACGAACGCUGGCGGCGUGCUUAACACAUGCAAGUCGAACGGUGAACCAGAGCUUGCUCUGGGGAUCAGUGGCGAACGGGUGAGUAACACGUGGGCAACCUGCCCCAGACUCUGGGAUAACCUCGGGAAACCGAUGCUAAUACCGGAUACGACCACUUCGGACAUCCGACGGUGGUGGAAAGUUUUCGGUCUGGGAUGGGCCCGCGGCCUAUCAGCUAGUUGGUGGGGUAAUGGCCUACCAAGGCGACGACGGGUAGCCGGCCUGAGAGGGCGACCGGCCACACUGGAACUGAGACACGGUCCAGACUCCUACGGGAGGCAGCAGUGGGGAAUAUUGCACAAUGGGCGAAAGCCUGAUGCAGCGACGCCGCGUGAGGGACGACGGCCUUCGGGUUGUAAACCUCUUUCAGCAGGGACGAAGCGAAAGUGACUGUACCUGCAGAAGAAGCACCGGCUAACUACGUG
rnacentral:rRNA from 1 species